rnacentral:rRNA from 1 species
AGAGUUUGAUCCUGGCUCAGAACGAACGCUGCCAGCAGCCGCGGUAAGACGUAGGGGGCCAGCGUUGCUCGGAAUUACUGGGUGUAAAGGGUUCGUAGGCGGUGUGGCAAGUCGGGAGUGAAAUCUCUGGGCUCAACCCAGAGUCUGCCUCCGAAACUGCUGUGCUUGAGUGUGGGAGAGGCGCGUGGAAUUGCAGGUGUAGCGGUGAAAUGCGUAGAUAUCUGCAGGAACACCCGUGGCGAAAGCGGCGCGCUGGACCACUACUGACGCUGAGGAACGAAAGCUAGGGGAGCAAACAGGAUUAGAUACCCUGGUAGUCCUAGCUCUAAACGAUCAGGACUUGGGGUGCCACCCGUUCGGGUGUCGUCCCGGAGCUAACGCGUUAAGUCCUGCACCUGGGGAGUACGGUCGCAAGACUGAAACUCAAAGGAAUUGACGGGGGCCCGCACAAGCGGUGGAACAUGUGGUUCAAUUCGACGCUACGCGAGGAACCUUACCUGGGCUCGAAAUGCUGGCGACCAGCUGUGGAAACACGGCCUUCCCGCAAGGGACACCAGUAUAGGCGCUGCAUGGCUGUCGUCAGCUCGUGCCGUGAGGUGUUGGGUUAAGUCCCGCAACGAGCGCAACCCCUGCACGUAGUUGCCACUCCGCAAGGAGGGAACUCUACGUGGACUGCUCCGGAUAACGGAGAGGAAGGUGGGGAUGACGUCAAGUCCGCAUGGCCUUUAUGUCCAGGGCUACACACGUGUUACAAUGCAGGGCACAAACCGUUGCCAACCCGCGAGGGGGAGCUAAUCGGAAAAAACUCUGCUCAGUUCGGAUUGCAGUCUGCAACUCGACUGCAUGAAGCCGGAAUCGCUAGUAAUGGCGUAUCAGAUCGACGCCGUGAAUACGUUCCCGGGCCUUGUACACACCGCCCGUCACAUCACGAAAGUGAGUUGUACUAGAAGUCGCUGCGCUGACCGCAAGGAGGCAAGCGCCCAAGGUAUGACCCAUGAUUGGGGUGAAGUCGUAACAAGGUAACCGU